UUACAAGUCAUGGAUCAAUAUUAGCAUUUAACAUUUAAGGGAAAUUGUAGCUGAAGAGAAUAAAAUGGUGAUAAUGAGAAAGAACAUGAAAUUUUUUGUGGCAUAGUUUGACAGAGAAGGUAGUGGAUAAGCAGUCAUUUUAGAAUACGCUUGUAAAAAUCAACCAGAAGAGAGUACAUCAUCUCACCAAUAGAUGGUGCAAAGCAACCAAAAAAAAGAGACCUGAAGAUGCACUUGGUUUAUACACCACCCAUAAUCUGCUUUCACUGCAACUCAGUCCAGAAUAGGCAUGGUAUCGUUCUACCACCAACAUCGGUAUUUGCAGAGUGUCUCAAGAGUGAGCACAGCUCAAAAAUCUGCAGGAACAAAUGCCUUGGGAUGCACCAAUGCUGCUGACAUAACUUCUGCAGAGCCCUGUGUCUGGGCAUGGGGGUUCAGAUGCCAUUGCAAGAGGGUCCUGCACUUAAGGAGCUCUGGACCCGUCAGGACACACCUGAAUGAGCCCAUCCAUCAUUUAAAAGAGACUUUGACAUAAAAUAAAUAAAUAAAUAAAUAACAGUCCAAAUUAGCCCAGUACUAGAAAAAAAAAAAAAAAAAAAAAAAUACCAGCAGAGGGCAACAGGAUGGAGCUCAGAUGUCAGGCACC